GAUGAACGCUAGCUACAGGCUUAACACAUGCAAGUCGAGGGGCAGCAUGAACUUAGCUUGCUAAGUUUGAUGGCGACCGGCGCACGGGUGAGUAACACGUAUCCAACCUGCCGAUGACUCGGGGAUAGCCUUUCGAAAGAAAGAUUAAUACCCGAUGGCAUAGUUCUUCCGCAUGUUAGAACUAUUAAAGAAUUUCGGUCAUCGAUGGGGAUGCGUUCCAUUAGCUUGUUGGCGGGGUAACGGCCCACCAAGGCAUCGAUGGAUAGGGGUUCUGAGAGGAAGGUCCCCCACAUUGGAACUGAGACACGGUCCAA
rnacentral:rRNA from 1 species